rnacentral:rRNA from 1 species
UUAGAGGAAGUAAAAGUCGUAACAAGGUUUCCGUAGGUGAACCUGCGGAAGGAUCAUUACUGAGCGUGGGUCCCCCGUUGACCCCCCUUUCCCGGGGGGCCGGGGUUGACCCUAGACCUCCCACCCUUGUCGAUUGUACCGUGUUGCUUCGGCGGGCCCGCCAUUGGCCGCCGGGGGGCUCGCGACUUGUGAGCGCCGCCCCCGGGCCCGUGCCCGCCGGAGACCUCCCUCGAAAUGCUACUGUGGUCAGAAAUGCUGUCUGAGUGGGAAUGAUGUGAGAAAUUGAUCAGUCAAAACUUUCAACAAUGGAUCUCUUGGUUCCGGCAUCGAUGAAGAACGCAGCGAAAUGCGAUAAGUAAUGCGAAUUGCAGAAUUCCGUGAGUCAUCGAAUCUUUGAACGCACAUUGCGCCCCCCGGCUUCCCGGGGGGCAUGCCUGUCCGAGCGUCAUUGCCAUCCCCUCAAGCUCCGCUUGGCUGGUUGGGCCGACGUCCACCCGUGGCUUUGUGCCGGGGGGGACGGGCCCGAAAGGCAGUGGCGGCUCCCGGAGGGUGGUCCCUUGGGGCGGUUGAUACAUGGGUUGUCAUCUUCCACCGCUCCGUUGGCCACGCUCCGGGGGUCCAGUCGAACGAUCGGUCUUCCCCUUUAGGUUGACCUCGGAUCAGGUAGGGAUACCCGCUGAACUUAAGCAUAUCAAUAA